CAGGAACAGGAGUAGGCAUGCUGAAAAUCAAGAAAAUUGGAGAUGAGGACUUUGCAUUCAUCAGUAAAUGCAAAGACCCCAAGGUUCGCACCAUUCUCCUCCAGGGGAAUGGCAAAGAGACUCUCUCUAAAAUGGACCACAACAUCCAGGAUGCUGUGCAAGUUUAUUGCAACUUUCUUUUUGACCCGCAUUUGGUGCCAGGGGAUGGGGCCUCUGAGAUGGCUGUGAUCCAUGUCUUGACAGAAAAAUCCAAGGUCAUGACUGGUAUGAACAAUGGCCAUACAGGGCUGUUACCCGGGUUGUAGAGGUCAUCUCUCUUACCCUAAUCCAGAACCGUGGGGCCAUUAACAUCCAUCUGCUUAUUAUUAUAAUACCUCCCUUCAGACCAAGCACACCUAGAAGAACCAUGAGACCUGGGGUGUAAGUGGUGAGACAAGUAUUUUGGUGGAGAUGAAGGAACUGGGCAUAUAGGAGCCAUUGGCUGUGAAGCUGCAGACAUCAAGGGCAGCAAUGGAGACUGUAGUUCUGCUCUUAUGGAUUGAUGUCAUUACUACAGGCCACAAAAGGAAGGGCAAGGAGCAGGGCCAGCAAGGCAAGACUACUGGUGCUAGCAAAG
rnacentral:lncRNA from 1 species